AUCCUUUCAGGAGAGUUGAAAAGCUUUAAGCUUUUUCCCUGAAGGGAGAUCACAGAGGCUCUCUGCUUGCAUUUGGUAGGGUGCUAGUCAGUUUGGCCCAUAUUCCCAUUGCUGUAACAGAAAUCACUGGAGUCUGUGGCGAGGGAGAGUACUAGAGGGCAGAAAAAUGAGAAAAUCUUUAUAUAGCAGGUCAUUGUUUCUGAAUUCUACAACAGAGGCCAGAAGGAGAGAACAUUUUCUGCACUUUAAGGUCCUUCUGCCUGUGGGUGUGGUGGUGCCAGGUAAAAAGUUUGGCCUGAUGCCUUCAAGGACACAUUCUGAAGAUGAAGGUCUUGCUGUCUGUAACCCUCAUCUGAUCUCCUGCCUUGAGCAAAUAAAAGAGCCCUGGAAUGUGAAGA
rnacentral:lncRNA from 1 species